rnacentral:rRNA from 1 species
CAUGAUUUAGCUAGAAAACCUCAAGCAAAGAGCACUUUAGUUUGACUCCCCGAAACUACGUGAGCUACUCCAAGACAGCCUAACAACUAGGGCAAACCCGUCUCUGUGGCAAAAGAGUGGGAAGAUCUUUGAGUAGAGGUGACAGACCUAUCGAACCUAGUUAUAGCUGGUUGCCUGGGAAAUGAAUAGAAGUUCAGCCUCUCGGAUUCUCCUUUCACCCCACCUCCCUCCCUCCGACAACUAAAAGAAGCCGAAAGAGUUAGUCGAAGGGGGUACAGCCCCUUUGACACAAGAUACAACUUUUCCAGAAGGGUAAAGAUCAUACCCCAACACCAAGGUAAGAUGUUUCGGUGGGCCUAAAAGCAGCCACCCCAUAGAAUGCGUUAUAGCUCAAACAUAACUACCACCCCCAAUCCUGACAAUUUUAUCUUAGCCCCCUAAACCUUACCAGGCCAUUCCAUGCAAACAUGGAAGCGACCAUGCUAAUAUGAGUAAUAAGAGAGUAUCAACCUCUCUCCUUGCACAAGUGUA